rnacentral:rRNA from 1 species
UACGGGGGGGGCAAGCGUUGUUCGGAAUUACUGGGCGUAAAGGGCUCGUAGGUGGCCAACUAAGUCAGACGUGAAAUCCCUCGGCUUAACCGGGGAACUGCGUCUGAUACUGGAUGGCUAGAGUUUGGGAGAGGGAUGCGGAAUUCCAGGUGUAGCGGUGAAAUGCGUAGAUAUCUGGAGGAACACCGGUGGCGAAGGCGCACAUCUGGCCCGAUACUGACGCUGAGGCGCGAAAGCUAGGGGAGCAAACGGG